rnacentral:rRNA from 1 species
AUUGAACGCUGGCGGCAGGCCUAACACAUGCAAGUCGAACGGUAACAGAAAGCAGCUUGCUGCUUUGCUGACGAGUGGCGGACGGGUGAGUAAUGUCUGGGAAACUGCCUGAUGGAGGGGGAUAACUACUGGAAACGGUAGCUAAUACCGCAUAACGUCGCAAGACCAAAGAGGGGGACCUUCGCGCCUCUUGCCAUCGGAUGUGCCCAGAUGGGAUUAGCUAGUAGGUGGGGUAACGGCUCACCUAGGCGACGAUCCCUAGCUGGUCUGAGAGGAUGACAGGCCACACGGGAGCGGGGACACGGUCCAGACUCCUACGGGAGGCAGCAGUGGGAAAAAUGGCACAGGGGGGGCAAGCCUGAUGCAGCAUGCCGCGUGUAUGAAGAAGGCCUUCGGGUUGUAAAGUACUUUCAGCGGGGAGGAAGGGAGUAAAGUUAAUACCUUUGCUCAUUGACGUUACCCGCAGAAGAAGCACCGGCUAACUCCGUG